GCCGCCGUAGCUCAGCCUGGUUGGAGCGCCGCCCUGGUAAUUAUCUCCUGGAAAGGCGGAGGUCCCGGGUUCGAAUCCCGGCGGCGGCU
rnacentral:tRNA from 1 species